rnacentral:rRNA from 1 species
GACGAACGCUGGCGGCGUGCUUAACACAUGCAAGUCGAACGGAAAGGCCCUGCUUUUGUGGGGUGCUCGAGUGGCGAACGGGUGAGUAACACGUGAGUAACCUGCCCUUGACUUUGGGAUAACUUCAGGAAACUGGGGCUAAUACCGGAUAGGAGCUCCUGCUGCAUGGUGGGGGUUGGAAAGUUUCGGCGGUUGGGGAUGGACUCGCGGCUUAUCAGCUUGUUGGUGGGGUAGUGGCUUACCAAGGCUUUGACGGGUAGCCGGCCUGAGAGGGUGACCGGACACAUUGGGACUGAGAUACGGCCCAGACGCCUACGGGAGGCAGCAGUGGGGAAUAUUGCAGAAUGAGCAGAAGCCUGAGGCAGCAACGCCGCGUGCGGGAUGACGGCCUUCGGGUUGUAAACCGCUUUCGCCUGUGACGAAGCGUGAGUGACGGUAAUGGGUAAAGAAGCACCGGCUAACUACGUG